rnacentral:rRNA from 1 species
AGCGAACGCUGGCGGCAGGCUUAACACAUGCAAGUCGAGCGGGCAUCCUUGUGGUGUCAGCGGCAGACGGGUGAGUAACGCGUGGGAACGUGCCCUUCGGUUCGGAAUAACUCAGGGAAACUUGAGCUAAUACCGGAUACGCCCUUUUGGGGAAAGGCUUGACUGCCGAAGGAUCGGCCCGCGUCUGAUUAGCUGGUUGGUGAGGUUACGGCUCACCAAGGCGACGAUCAGUAGCUGGUCUGAGAGGAUGAUCAGCCACACUGGGACUGAGACACGGCCCAGACUCCUACGGGAGGCAGCAGUGGGGAAUAUUGGACAAUGGGGGCAACCCUGAUCCAGCCAUGCCGCGUGAGUGAUGACGGCCUUUGGGUUGUAAAGCUCUUUUCUCCGGGACGAUAAUGACGGUACCGGAGGAAUAAGCCCCGGCUAACUUCGUGCCAGCCGCCGCGGUAAAAC